rnacentral:lncRNA from 1 species
ACCAAGAAGCAAGUUGUGGAGGAAAGGGUUUAUUCAGCUUACACUUCCAUACUGCUGUUCAUCACCAAGGAAGUCUGGACUGGAACUCAAGCAGGUCAGGAAGCAGGAGCAAAGCCCACGGAGGAAUGUUACUGGCUUGCUCAGUGUGUUUUCCUGUAGAAUCCAGAACAGCCCAGGAAUGGCACCACUCACAAUGGGCCCUCCUACCCUUGAUCACUAAUUGAGAAAAUGCCUUACAGCUGGAUCUCAUGGACACAUUUCCACAAGGGAGGCUCCUUUUUCUGUGAUAACUCCAGCUUGUUGACACACAAACCUAGCCGGUACAGGGGAUAUGAUCUUGCUUGGAGACUUAAGGAAAUCUAGAAGACAGAUGUCAAUACUUAAGACAUCAAAUCACAUAAACAAUAACAGAUAUAGUCAAUUGUCAUGAUUAAGAUUAGCACUUAAAAUGGCAAGGCCAUGAUUGUGUGCUAACGAUGUUAGUGAAUGAUUAAACAAGGCAGAAUCAGACAGAUUUAAUUUAUGCUUACAAAUGUUAGUGAAUUGAGGACACAUUGUUCUUGUGCUGUUGCCAAAAUAUUGAGUGUGAUUAGGUCUUGUGAUAUAGCCACCUUCAUCUUAAGUUUUGAGUUUAAAAAAUGAGAUGCUAAACUAAAAACCAUUUAAAAUACUGAAAGCAAUGUGUCUUUUCUUCUUAUAGGGAUACAGAGUCUUGUUCUGUUGUUCAGGCUAGCUUCAGGGCUUGAUUCAACUCAGUGAUAUCCAGCCUCAGCCUUUGGUAUAGAUGGGGCCACAGGCAUGUGCCUCCAUGCCCACUUUUGGAUUUUUUUCCAUUCUAGAGUUGUCUAAACACCUCAUUCUAGAAGAAUGAGUCUUUACAAAGAAGGAGAAGUGUCAGGUCAUCUAGGACUGGACUCUCUGGAGCCACAAGAAACCUCUUUCACAAGCUAUCCCAGGUGUUGCUCUUGUGGAAAGCUGUCCAAGACUUAAAAUCAGGAAGUGUGGAUUCAAGGGCUGCUUUUCAACAGCAUAGUUAAGAUAUAGAUAUUCAUCUCUUAAUUUGUUUCUGUUAUUCCUCACACUUCAGAUUCACCUUGUUCAAUGCCAUUAUGAUCAUAGACACCAGCAGUAUAUUUUGUCACUGUUUUUUUUUUUUUAGGUCAACUAUGUAGUCUAGGCUUGACCUUGAAUUCCUGAUCUCUUGAAAACCUCCUGGGGCAGAAAUUACACAUGCACACUAACAUCGACUGUAACAGCAUCUUUUGUUUGCAAGGAACCCGUAACUGAUAAACGUGUGCUUAAGCAUUUGAAGAGUUGAGUGUGACUAGUUGUAGGGUAACAUUGGCCCCCUGGCUCAUGCCUCACUUGGCAUCCCCUGAUCUACAGUCUAGGAGGGAAGUCAUCCCCUUUAGCACAGACAGGAGGAUUUUUACCAAAGGCCACGAGGCUUCUUGCAUUGAGCAAAUGGUCACCUCAAAGCAACUGCUUUUUUUCUUUAUUUUAGCAGCUUUACCUUCUAAGUACAGAGGUUUCUUCCCACUUCCUGUUUGUUCCCUUGUUUGGACAGAUGCAAGAUUUUGGUCUCAGGACUCAGAGCUUUGUUUUAGAUGAAGAGAGGCUUCAGAAAUCUCUUGGGUAGGGAAUCCUUGUGUUAGGAGACUCUAGCUUUGCCUAAAUAAUAUUUCCAGCUCCACAACUACUCAGACACUUCUAGAACUUGGAAAUCUUUGUCACUUCGGAUGGCAGGCUCCCACACCCCCAAAUCACUUAAUUGACUCUUCUUGCCCAUGUACGACACUAAUGGAAGUUUAGUCCUGCCUUAUAGGAAAGCCUGCCACCAGGGCAGGAGGAUUCUCUCAGGUUGUAGCUGCUGCUUCCCACAGCAAAAAUCUGCACGAAAAAAAUUCACCAUUCCAUCUUCUAGAUGAAUGUUGCUUUCAAGGUGAUCUACAGGAAUGGACCCAUUUUUUGCUUUGCUACAUGGAUCCAGAUGUUUUGUCUCCUGACAGUUUGCUCUCUAAACAGCAUAGUAUGCAAACUGACCAGCAUAUUUGAGUAUGCUGAGUAACCUGAUUAGCUAAACCAACAGACUUACUUCUAGACAAUAGAAAAUCGUGGAGUACUGCAGGGAUUGCCUUACAAAUCUCUCAUGAAUUUAAAAAAAAAUACCUUGAAUGUACCGUGUAAUAAAGAUUAUUGGAUAAAUAAAACUGCCAGUGGCCAAAACCUC